UGCACUUGUUGUGCAAUUCUUUUUGGCAGUGUUUGAAUUACUUCUAGUGCUCAAUCUUGGGUUGGCUUCUUGUUGCUAUGCAAGCUUUUCUGUCAAGUGUACUGCACAACAUUCUGAUCUGAAAGCCAGUUGGCGAGAGUUGCUUGCUUAGAAUGAUAAUACUUUUGAUUUCAUUUUAAAGUUAAAGGAUUGUUUUAUGAAGUGUUGUCCUUAGCCUUAAGGCUCUAAAUAGUGCCAUUUUGGACCACUGAAUGAUCAUCUUUGAUAGAGAAGGAAAAGUGUCUUAUUUGCAGAUUGUCUUUAGAUGACUGACUUAAAGAACGUGCUCUUUGGAUGGGAAAACUUCAGAUCGAAGCGGUAACGCCUCUGAAAUAGGCUCAGAGAAGGACAACAAACUGUAAAACUAUGGAUUAGCAGAGUUCCUCAGCUGGAAAGAGAUGACAGAUGGGGGCAGGACUGUAUCUCCAGCUUUGAAUUCCUAUCCAGUCCUAAGGAAAUCCUGUUGCAUUACUGACAGCUGAUGCAUCAAGUGAAGUUUGAUGAUAGCAAAAAUCUCUAUUGGUGGAGUCUACAGGCUGCAGACAAACCUUGAGGAAGGUCUCCUAUAGCAGCAUGAAAGGUUUGUGUGUUCAUCUGCCUGUUUCUACAUCUAUCUUUUAUGAUGUCGACUAUCUCUGAACUGAGAAGAGAUGAAAAAGAGAUUUCAUUAGAGGAAGGGAUGGAAUAAGAUGGGAGGUAGAAGAGGAUAGGAAAAGCAUACAUUUGCAUGCAAUGAAACUUCAGUAUCAAAG
rnacentral:lncRNA from 1 species